AAUCAGAUCUUCUGCCUGUUGAAACAUCUGACCUCUUUGACAGGACUGGACCGUCCUCAUCCAGACCUCUUUAGGUACUGUUUAUAAGUACCAACAGACCCAGUGGACCAAUGCACCCUGUACAUGGUCCCACCGAAGUUGGUCUGCUAUGGACCUCUGAGGAAUUCAUUAAUUUUCCAAAAUAAACAUAGAAGAUUCUUACGUUAAUGUAAUUGCUCAGUUCAAAGAUCAGCAAGCUCUGGCCAUGAGACAAGUUGCCCAUUUUUACAAAUAGAAUUGUAUUGAAAUACAGCCGUGGCCAUUUGUUAACAUACCGUCUAGCGCUGCUUUGGGGUGUGAUGGAAGCAUUGCAAAGCCUAAAAUAUUUACUACUUGACCCUUCAAGAAAAAUUUUGUGGACUCUUGUUCCAGUUUAUUCUAGAAAUGUUCAGCAUGUUUGGGAAAACUUUGGAUUGCUGUACAAAGUCAACAGCUACAAAGGAGUGGUACCCUGUUUUUCCAGGGCUAUUUUUAUGGCUUCAUAAUUCCUUAAUCACUGUAUGGAUUAAAUUAAACCAGAAGUCACUCAGACAUCUCUAAAAAUUAUCUUAUUGGCAUAACUAACGCACACUCAUGGAUGAAAAUUAGUCUUCCUACCAGCUGAAUCACAGCUUGCUUUUCACUUCUUGUAACAUCUUGCAACAUCACAAAAUAUUUGCUGCAGCUUGCGAAGGGCGGCUGCGGGAUGAGUAAACUGAGAGGAGGCCUUCCUUCACUCCCACCCUGUCAGCACCUUCUGUUCCAGCAGCCUGAAAGGCAGCUUGAGAGCUCUGAUUGCUUCUCCAGAUUAUGACAAUUCCUGGCAUCGUAGCCCUGGGCAAGAAUGGAAGCAAAGGAAACAUGGAGUUUUGCAGGUGUCAGUACAUAAUACUGUCAUUUUACAGAACUGAAUUUAUAAAUGACUCCAUGAAGGGCAGGCCAGAGAAAUGCAUGCUAAGGGAAGGAAAAAGGAAGCAUAUACAUGGAGUGAUGAGAAAUAUGGUGAGUAGGGCAUGGUUGCCAUGCCUGUAAUCCAGCGCUUGGGAGGCUGAGGCAGGAGGAUAGCCAUGAGUCUGAGGCCAGCCUAGGCUACAUACUGAGUUCAAAGCCAGCCUGAACUACAUAGUGCAAUUCUGUUUCAAAAAGGAAAAAAUAUAGUGUUUAAAUUAAAAAUGUAUUACAGUAAAAGACACAUUGCUAUUAAUCCCCCUCAAAAUCUUUCCUCACUUUAAACACACUUAUCCCGUCAUCCUUGCCACUUUCUGAGGCAGUUCUGGAAUCCUCUUUUGUGUCUUCAGUUGCAUUGUUAUACCUGCCUCAGUGUCCUGAAUUGAUUCAAAACACUUUUCAUGGUCUUUUUGAUUUGGGGGAAGAGUGACAUGGGUGCCAGAGUAAAUAAAUGGAUAAAGUAGGUGAGGACACGCA
rnacentral:lncRNA from 1 species